rnacentral:rRNA from 1 species
CAAGUCCUAUGGCCCUUAUGGGUAGGGCUUCACACGUCAUACAAUGGUCGGAACAGAGGGUUGCCAACCCGCGAGGGGGAGCUAAUCCCAGAAAACCGAUCGUAGUCCGGAUUGCACUCUGCAACUCGAGUGCAUGAAGCUGGAAUCGCUAGUAAUCGCGGAUCAGCAUGCCGCGGUGAAUACGUUCCCGGGUCUUGUACACACCGCCCGUCACACCAUGGGAGUGGGUUUUACCAGAAGUGGCUAGUCUAACCGCAAGGAGGACGGUCACCACGGUAGGAUUCAUGACUGGGGUGAAGUCGUAACAAGGUAGCCGUAUCGGAAGGUGCGGUUGGAUCACACCNUUANNN